UUAGAGAAUCUAGGUUAAAAGUAAACGGGAUCGAAAGUUAUUCGACAAAAAAUCUAGGCUUAUGCUUUUGUGUCGGACGAGCUGCGAAAAAUUUCCCAAACUGAAAUGACGGUUCGAGAUCUAGGCCUACUCACUUAGUCACCCGAGCCCCCAACUUUUAAUUAGUUAAAACCGUUCGGCUCACCGUGUGACAUUUCCAAUCAAACACUAAACAACCCUAGAUCUAGCAUUAAGCAUUGCCAUUAUAGUCAUUUGUUAGUGAAUGGCUUUUGUGUCGGACGAGCUGCAAAGAAUUUCCCAAAUUGAAAUGACGGUUCGAGGUCUCCACUUUUUAAUUCAAGAAUCGCUCGCGUUUCUUACUCAUGGAAUACUGACUUCAAAGUAGUAAAGACAUACAUUUACAAAUUACAGUUUUAUUGAUCCCACAAGGGUAUUACUGUUGAGUCUAAACUCAUUAGAUUUUAGAUCUAGAUCUAGGCCUACUCACUUAGUCACCCGAGCCCCCAACUUUUAAUUAGUUAAAACCGUUCGGCUCACCGUGUGACAUUUCCAAUCAAACACUAAACAACCCUAGAUCUAGCA